AGUCUCGAGGGAAGAGGGUCUGGUGGAAGGAGAUGACGCCGUCUCUCAGCGCUGAGGAAAACAGAAUGUAUAAUAAGAUGUGGCAUCAGACCCAAGAAGCCCUCGGUGCUUUACUCGAUAAAGAGCCUCAGAAGAUGAUUGAACCACAAAGAAAUCAGGUUUUCAUCUUUCAAACAUUAGCCACCUUCUACGUAAAGUAUGUGCAGAUCUUUAGAAACCUAGAGAAUGUCUACGACCAGUUCGUCCACCCCCAGAAACGAAUACUGAUCAGGAAAGUCCUGGACGGGGUGAUGGGCCGCAUCCUGGAGCUGAAGAACGAGAUGGUGGAGCUGGAACUCACGGAGUUCCAUUAUUUCGAUGAUAUCCUGCAGGAUCUCAAGCUGGCCCCCCAACAAUUAGAUAUUCCCAUACCCAAGUAUUUUUUGAAGGAGAAGUUGGAAGUAAUAAAAGGAAGAGAGAAAAUUCUUGCUCAAAUAUUAGCGGACAGCGGAAUAGAUACAUCUGACAUGAAAUACCCUGUAAAGAGUAUCCCUUUCGAUGAGGCUGUUAAAUUAAUCCAGAUUGCUGAGAGGGCACGGCAAGGUCGCCUAAGGGCUUUAUUCAUGAAGCAAAUCUAUCUGCAAGAAUAUAGAGCAAAGCAAUCCAAGAUGCUUGGCAAGAAAGUGACAGAUACCUGGGCUGCUGCACUCCGCAUUCAGAAGGUUUGGCGACGUUUCCAUCAACGUAAGGAAACUGAAAAACUGAGAGAAGAGGAGAUGAUCUUCCUGGGUAUGAAUCCACCUCCUCUCUUUAAUGAAGUCAGUGCUACAGUAAUCCAGGCUGAAAAGGUGGACCGCCUGCGGAAUGAGGUGCAGAUAAAGCAUGAAGAGGACUACAGGGAAGCCCUGGUUACCAUCAAGAAUGACCUAAAGUUGAUAGAAGGCGUGGAUAUCAAGGAGAACCUUCAAGACCAGAUCCGGCAUUGGUUCAUCGAAUGCAGAAAUUUAACCGGGACAUUUCCUGACUACCCUGACGUUGAAGAAGGAGGGUCAGCUAUUAUUUUUUCUGACAAGACCAUACAACAGGUUAUUGAGGAUAUCAUAGCAAACCAAGAGGAAGAAGAAAAAAACAAAAAGAAGAAGAAGAAAAAGGAAAAACAACCCAAGAAAGCCAAAAAACAAAAGAAAGGAACAAAGGAGAAAAAUAAGGAAGAAGACGAAAAAUGGAAAAUGUCACCAAGUCUUUUUCUUCCUGCAAUGAAGGAAGGAUGUAACGCAUACAAAGAAAUCUGGAUGAAAAAAGAUGAGUCUUGGAAUUUCUCUCAGGACUAUGAUCCAGAACUGAUCAAAGAGGAGAAACGAAAAGAAUUACAGUCAGAGAUCAGGAUACAGGUUGAUGAGUUGAUGAGACAGGAACUUAAAAACUUAAAGCUAGCUGUGGACAGAGAAAGGGAGCGCCCAGUGAAAGCAGGAAAGAAAAAGGACAAGAAGAAAGGAAAGAAAGGCAAAAAGAAAGAGAAGAAGGCAAAGAAGGAUAAAGAUCUGACAGCUGACAGGACCAUCGAGUCUCUGUAUAAGGAACUGGUGGAAGAAGGAUUACUGAUCCAGGCUCUGAAAGUCAACCUCUCUGAUUACAUUGGUGAGUACAGCUACCUGGGGACUACUCUUCGCCAGGUGUCCAUAGAACCCAUGCCCUCCCUCCUGGAUGUCAGACAGCUCAUCACAUUGUACGGAAUCUGGCCAUUAGGUUCUGCAGCAGUGCAUGAGAAAGCUCCUUUGGUGAAAUCGCUACUGUUAGCCGGGCCGUCUGGGGUAGGGAAGAAAAUGCUGGUCCAUGCCAUCUGCACCGAAACGGGAGCCAACCUCUUCAACUUGUCCUCCUCUAACAUUGCUGGGAAAUACCCUGGCAAAAAUGGCCUCCAAAUGAUGCUGCAUGCAGUCUUCAAGGUGGCUCGACAGCUCCAGCCCUCCGUGGUGUGGAUUGAAGACACAGAAAAAACCUUCUACAAAAAAGUUCCCAACGCAGAAAAGAUGAAUGAACCUAAACGCCUGAAAAAACACCUUCCCCAAAUCCUGAAACUCCUGAAACCAGAUGACCGGAUUCUGAUUGUGGGGACCACACGGCGUCCCUUCGAUGCUGAACUCCAAUCUUUCUGCAAAGUUUACCAGAAAAUUAUUUUGGUGCCCAGACCAGACUAUGCUUCCAGAUACGUUCUGUGGAAGCAAAUCAUUGAACGCAAUGGAGGAGUCCUCACCAGUGCCUUGAAUGUCAGCUGCCUGGCGAAGGUCACUGACGGCUUCACCCAAGGACAUAUAGUCGAAGUGGUUAAAGGCGUGCUCACAGAUCAGAGAAUCCGGCGGCAAAUUCAUAAACCUCUCACUGCAGUUGAGUUUAUUACGGCGAUAACCAGCAUGAAUCCAGUGUACAAAGAGGAAGAAGAGAGCUUUAAGAACUGGUAUGCCAAAACUCCUCUGGGUAAAAAACGUGCCUUGGCGAUAACAGGAGGCAGCACAGAAAAGGCAAAGGACAAAGGGAAAAGGAAAUAAAAGAAAGAGAAAAAGGCAAAAAAGAAAAAGUAAUGCCUUUCUGAAGAACCAUGCUUGAGUCUCUCUGGGAUGGAGAGGACCCCAACUCGCCAAAGAAAAGAUUCACCAUUGCCCGCCUGAAGAAGCCCUCAGGGGAAGGAACUUAGCAGUGUGCAGGUGCUGCCCGGAAAGGAAGAGAAAGACUUUGGCUUAAAGGUGGACCCCAGAGCUCCCAACAGCUGGAGGCUCCCACUCACAGCUCCCCUGCAGCAGAAGCACGUGUUCCUUUUUUCUUGUUGUUGUUUCAUUGCUUUAAGUUUUAUUUUAACUGUUGGAUAAUAAUUGUGCAUAUUUAUGGGGCACAGUGUGGUGGUCCAAUACCUGCCCUCCUGUGUUCACUGCAGCACUAUUCACAAUAGUCAAGAUAUGGUAUCAACCCUAGCGUCCAUCUAUGGAGGGAUGGAUUAAAAGAAUGUGGUAUAUACACAGAUGGAAUACUAUUCCACCAUAAAACUCAAUGAAUUCCUUUUCAACAACAUGGAUGAGCCUAGAGGAUACCAUGUUAAGUGGAAUUAGCCAAGCACAGAAGGACAAAUGCUGCACAUUCCUUCUGGAUGGAAGGCAGAGCCCCCACACUGGCCACAGAGGGCUCACUAUCACACAGCAGCGCUAGCGUGAGCUGCCACAGCUGCCCAUCUGGGCCACUCACAACUGUACCACGAGUAUCCCCACACAGAGAUCUCUGUGCAUUGCUGCAUCUGUGUCUACUGGGUAUGUUCCCGAAAGUGGCACAGCUGCAUGGAGGCUCACACACACAGAAGGUGAUGUGAAGAAUAAAAAUCACAGACCAGGGGACACGGCCUCCUGCCAGCCCUCCAAGGGGGGUCUCCUGGAUGAUGGACACCCCCAGCAGAGGAUGCCUGUCAAUCAUUCCUGCCAUCAGAGGAACUGCCCAAAGGCAGGUGUGUUCCACACUGAGAGAAGCAAGGCCUGGUUGGAGACAUUUUCUGAAUUGUCAGUGUCUGCAAAUGCCUUCAGAGGAACCCAGACACUGACUGGUUCCACCCUCUCCCAGGUCACUUUUCAGUUGGCAAAGCAAGCACAGCACGAUGUCUGUAUCAUUGCAAGCGCAUGAGGACGCCUGCGUCACUGCAAGCACACGAGGACGCCUGCGUCACUGCAAGCACACGAGGACGCCUGCGUCACUGCAAGCACACGAGGACGCUUGUGUCACUGCAAGCACACGAGGACGCUUGUGUCACUGCAAGCACACCACGAUGCUUGUGCCCCCGCAAGCAUAUGAGGACACCUGUGUCACUGUGCAUUUAAAAGGCCCCAGGACCUCCCAGCCACACCCAGACACAAAAGGGAAGAAGAAAGCAGCAGGGAAGCUAUUGUCAGGGAAAAGCUGAAAUGAAUUCCAAAUACAUUGAGAGUAGAGAAAAUGCUUCCAUCAGAUUUUAAUUCCACACCCUCAACACCGGUGGGAUGAACAUUUCUGAAAGGCAGCUCCAUAGAAUGUUGCUGCAAGAGUCUGGCAUCCUCACACCCCCUGCCUUAGAUGAUCCUAGAGGACACCCCCGCCAUCACCCUUUGGGCCACUGUUAGGACGCUGAGCUGGGCUGCAGGAAAACACCAGAAUUAAAUCAAAAAUGGGCAAUGGAGAGAGGGCCUUCUAACUGCAAGGGGGCCAGGAAGUUGCUGUCUUGACAAGUCACUGUGAGGCUUAAAAAUAAGCUUUACAAAUAGCAUGUUAAAGGGAGUGGCUCAAACAGCCCUGGCUCAGGGACAGGGGUCUGCAGGCACUGGCCUCUGCCAUCUCCCUCCUCACAGCCUCCCCUCUCCUUUGAAUGGUGCUUUUUGCAGGCUCCCCUUCCCGCGGGCCUCUAAGCCUGGGGCGCUGUCGUAGGAGCCAGGGGGUCUGCUUGAGAUGUGCGCUCUGUAUGGGUUCUUCUCAUGCCGGAUGUUGAAGAGGCAAGUCCUGAGCAUUGACGAUCCAGGAAUUGAUGAAUCCACCUGAAAAUGUCCUCCCUGAAUCUCAAAAUCCCUAAGGACAGGACUGCUUAGAGUGGGCAGUACUGUGUGCACGGUAUAGAAGGACUCACAUGAGGAGGAAGGACCUGACUCUGAGGACAAACAUCUCUGAUGGUCAAGUGAAGACUCCAUCCCACAAUCACCCCGCCCCAUCCCUCCUAAUGUUUCCCUCACUUUAUUAUAGGACGGGGCUGCAAUGGUGUAAGAAGGGGGUGUAGAACGGGAGAGGAUUAUACAGUGGGACGGACAUAACCUCUUUUAGCCUCUGUGAUAAUUUACACACAGGAUAAUAUUAGCAAGUUAAGGCUGCAAGAGCCGAUGUUUGAAGAGGUGUGAUAUUAACCAGACAGGCUUCAUAUUUGAGUGAAUGUGGAAGAAAUGCUUAGGAAUAGAAAAUUUGACAUGGGCCCCUUCUCCUUCUUUCCUUAUUAGAAUGAGGGAUCUGACAUGCCUUCCCCAAAGCUAAAUAAAUGUGUUUGUCCAUGAA